rnacentral:lncRNA from 1 species
GUAACUUUUUAUUUUAUUCACAAACACAGAGAGAAAUCCUGGCCAGAGUGAAGAGGAAAGGAAAAUAUCUUUUGAUAUCUAUUCUCAACUUCAGUGAUUUUUCUUACACAGAAUGAGAGAAAAAAAAUAUAUAGCUCAGGGUUUAGAAGCUCUGAAGUUAAAAAAAAUUGUCAUUUUUUUUCACAUCUUUUGAAUUUCAGGUCUCAUGUAGGAAAACUACCAUAUCAAGUCUUACCAAUGGAUUGUAAUCAAAGAAUACCCAAGUAUUUACAUCAUAAAGGUUAUCAGAAAUUGAAGAGAAAAUGCGAACAAUUACUACCAGCAAAAAUGAACCAGGAUAUAAUCAGAUACGUUUAAGAACUUCUGUUCAGCUUUUGGAUCAGACCUGAG